rnacentral:rRNA from 1 species
GCUCGUAGUUGGAUUUCGGUUGAGAGCGGCCGGUCCGCCGUUUGGUGUGCACUGGCUGGUUUCAGCUUCCUGCAGAGGACGCGCUCUGGGCUUAAUCGUCUGGACGUGGAGUCUGCGUGGUUACUUUGAAAAAAUUAGAGUGUUCAAAGCGGGCUUACGCUUGAAUAUUUCAGCAUGGAAUAACACUAUAGGACUCCUGUCCUAUUUCGUUGGUCUCGGGACGGGAGUAAUGAUUAAGAGGAACAGUUGGGGGCAUUCGUAUUUCAAUGUCAGAGGUGAAAUUCUUGGAUUUUUGAAAGACGAACUUCUGCGAAAGCAUUUGCCAAGGAUGUUUUCAUUAAUCAAGAACGAAAGUUGGGGGCUCGAAGAUGAUUAGAUACCAUCCUAGUCUCAACCAUAAACGAUGCCGACUAGGGAUUGGCGGAUGUUAAUUGAUGACUCCGCCAGCACCUUAUGAGAAAUCAAAGUUUUUGGGUUCCGGGGGGAGUAUGGUCGCAAGGCUGAAACUUAAAGGAAUUGACGGAAGGGCACCACCAGGCGUGGAGCCUGCGGCUUAAUUUGACUCAACACGGGGAAACUUACCAGGUCCAGACAUAGUAAGGAUUGACAGAUUGAGAGCUCUUUCUUGA